rnacentral:snRNA from 1 species
CUCCUUCUCUCCUACUUUUUCUU